CUAGAACCUGUGAUUGCGAGCUUACCUAUUGAACGCGUUGUGCAAACUCGCCAUUCUUGCUAGUUCAUCGAAUGUGGCUUCCUUAUUAGCACUGUAACUAGAUUAUUCAAUUCUAGGGUUUUUCUACCUUCAUCACCCUUCUCCUUUCAAUCGCUAUCUCCCUCUACAGAAUCCAUCUAGUUUUGCGUUCGAAGUAAGAUGCAAACACUCAUUCAUCUUUC
rnacentral:lncRNA from 1 species